ACAGAGGAAGUUUGUGUUGCUUUGGCUUCUGCCCUGAAAGCCAACCCCUCCCAUCUGAGAGAGCUGGAUCUGAGCUAUAAUCACCCAGGAGACUUAGGAGUGAAGCUGCUCUCUGAAGGACUGGAGGAUCCUCACUGGAGACUAGAAACCCUCAGGAUUGGUCAUGAUGAAGAGACAUUAAGACAGAGAAAGUUAUGUCUGUAAAACAGGUGGAACUCCUGCUCAUUAUAAAUGCUCUACCUUCUGAAACAGAACAUCAGUGACUGGACUGAAUAUGAACCUGUAGUCAACACUGUGGAUGAGGUCCAAACCUAUAGCCUACAGUCUGACCCAGGUCGCUUUGAGUGCAGUGUGUCUACCAUGCGCUGGGUUUGUAAGGAGAAGGUCAGCUUCAACUACAAGUUCUGCUCUUGGGAUGAGCACAGGGAGAGGCCUGCAUGCAUGAAUUACAUACCAGCAGGACCCCUAAUGGACAUUACAGUCACAACCGGGAAGUUAGAGGAGAUGCAUCUUCCACACUGGAUAUGUACAGAUGACAACCCCACAAUUUUGGACAGUUUUGCAGUUCUGCAUGUAGAUAUCAGUGGAGAUUACGUGGAAAAAGUGUCUGAAGUGACAUCAUCCCAUGUCAAGAUACUUCAUCCCAUUUCCUCUCCAAGAGGGGUCAUGAUCAGGAGUUUUUUAUGACAUGUUAAUAUUCAAGACAAACAAAGCAUCCCUCACCCUGCAUGUUUACCUGCUGCAACCUGAUCCAGUCGUACAACAGACAGUGAAGAGACAGGAAAACUCUGAUGCAUCCAGAAGAAUUCGAAAGCCGAGCCCCGACAAGCCCCUUCGGAUGGAGAAUCAUUUCUUCCUCACAACGGACACAGGCAUUUCAGAAAUAUUUCCUCUACAGAAACUAAAGCUCACAUGUGAGAGGAAGAACCCCAAUUUCUUUGAAGUGUUCAUAAGAGACGCAAACAGUGACUUCAGCCUAAAACUUGAAGGUGAACAAAAGAGAACUAAGGGAAUGGAAACAGUCUGGACCUGCAUGAUUCGAAAGGAUGACUACCAAGAAAGACGCAGUUAUCAUGAACAAGGUCAGCAUUUCGUGGAUCGUCAUCGGACAGAUCUGAUUAACAGGGUGACGGAUACAGGGUGUCAGAAGCACCUAGAUUUGCUUUUUCUGUGGCCAGAAAUUUACUCAUUUAUGCAACUUUGAAGUUAUAAUGAUUUUAGUCUUUUUAGUCUCCUUUUUUGGUACAUAAUAUGCAAUGUAUCACAUGACAUGCAGCUCCUGUCUGCUUUAUGUAGCUCUAUAAUGAGUUUCAGCUCAUUGUUUAGCUGUACGAGAAAAACACUCUGAAAAACUCCACUAUACACUAUCUGCUCAGCACCAAACAUCUAACAGUUAGCUAGUAAACAUAGCGGAGCACUUAGCAGCUGGUGACCCAGAUAUUUCCCUCAAGAGUUGAUAGAGACCAAAAAAGACAUUCAUCAUUACAUUCAUCAGUUGGACAGAAACACGACUACAAAUGAAUGAUAAUGUUGCUCUGUAACUGCUGGAUGUUUUAAAAAGCAACGGUUUGCUAAUAGUUCAACAUAUCAACUCAACAGGUGAUGAUGUGUUCACAGCUUGUUUCUGCUGCCCCCUAGUGGUCAAAAUCAGUUACUGCAUUUUAGAAGGUUGUCUAACUUGAAGGAUCUUUAUCAGAUCAGAAGAAUCAGUAAGGUUUCUUUUUAACUUACGAAAACAACACAGCCAUUUUCUACUUAUUUUAAUUGAUUUUCUUUUUUACUUAUUUACAU